ACUCAAAGGAAUAGACGGGGGCUCACACAAGCGGUGGAGGAUGUGGUUUAAUUCGAAGCAACGCGCAGAACCUUACCAGGUCUUGACAUACCGGGAUUAGUUCCGUGAAAGCGGGAUGAUUACUGUCAAAAGUGUAACCGGAACAGGUGCUGCAUGGCUGUCGUCAGCUCGUGCCGUGAGGUGUUAGGUUAAGUCCUUUAACGAGCGAAACCCCUACGAUUAGUUACCAGCGCGUCAUGGCGGGGACUCUAGUCGGACUGCCGCGCAAGUAGGAGGAAGGUGGGGACGACGUCAAGUCAUCAUGGCCUUUAUGACCUGGGCCACACACGUCCUACAAUGGAUGCGACAGAGGGUAGCAGAGCCGCAAGGUGAAGCCAAUCCCACAAACGCAUCCUCAGUUCAGAUUGUGGGCUGCAAUUCGCCCACAUGAAGCUGGAAUCGCUAGUAAUCGCGGAUCAGCUACGCCGCGGUGAAUAUGUUCCUGAGCCUUGUACACACCGCCCGU
rnacentral:rRNA from 1 species